GUGCCAUUAGUUCAAUUGGAUAGAACAACUGAUUUCUACUCAGUCGGCUGAGGGUUCGAGUCCUUCAUGGCACG
rfam:Roseofilum reptotaenium AO1-A Rreptotaenium_AO1_contig_149_len_2163_cov_2628.59, whole genome shotgun sequence.